rnacentral:rRNA from 1 species
AUUGAACGCUGGCGGCAUGCUUUACACAUGCAAGUCGAGCGGCAGCGCGGGGGCAACCCUGGCGGCGAGCGGCGAACGGGUGAGGAAUACAUCGGAACGUACCCCGGAGUGGGGGAUAACGCCGCGAAAGCGGCGCUAAUACCGCAUAUGCUCUGAGGAGGAAAGUGGGGGACCGCAAGGCCUCACGCUCUGGGAGCGGCCGAUGUCCGAUUAGCUAGUUGGUGAGGUAAAGGCUCACCAAGGCGACGAUCUGUAGCGGGUCUGAGAGGAUGAUCCGCCACACUGGAACUGAGACACGGUCCAGACUCCUACGGGAGGCAGCAGUGGGGGAAUUUUGGGACAAUGGGGGGCAACCCUGAUCCAGCCAUGCCGCGUGAGUGAAGAAGGCCU